GGACUACCAGGGUUUCUAAUCCUGUUUGCUCCCCACGCUUUCGUGCCUCAGCGUCAGUGUUGAUCCAGAUGGCCGCCUUCGCCACUGAUGUUCCUCCCGAUCUCUACGCAUUUCACCGCUACACCGGGAAUUCCACCAUCCUCUAUCACACUCUAGCCUCCCAGUAUCCACUGCCAUUCCCAGGUUGAGCCCGGGGAUUUCACAGCAGACUUAAAAGACCGCCUACGCACGCUUUACGCCCAGUAAUUCCGAUUAACGCUUGCACCCUUCGUAUUACCGCGGCGGCUGGCAC
rnacentral:rRNA from 2 species